CUAUGCGCCUUGCCAGCCCGCUCAGGUGUGCCAGCAGCCGCGGUAAUACGUAGGUGGCGAGCGUUAUCCGGAAUGAUUGGGCGUAAAGGGUGCGCAGGCGGUCCUGCAAGUCUGGAGUGAAACGCAUGAGCUCAACUCAUGCAUGGCUUUGGAAACUGGAGGACUGGAGAGCAGGAGAGGGCGGUGGAACUCCAUGUGUAGCGGUAAAAUGCGUAGAUAUAUGGAAGAACACCAGUGGCGAAGGCGGCCGCCUGGCCUGUUGCUGACGCUGAGGCACGAAAGCGUGGGGAGCAAAUAGG
rnacentral:rRNA from 1 species